ACACAUGCAAGUCGAACGGAAAGGCCCUGCUUUUGUGGGGUGCUCGAGUGGCGAACGGGUGAGUAACACGUGAGUAACCUGCCCUUGACUUUGGGAUAACUUCAGGAAACUGGGGCUAAUACCGGAUAGGAGCUCCUGCUGCAUGGUGGGGGUUGGAAAGUUUCGGCGGUUGGGGAUGGACUCGCGGCUUAUCAGCUUGUUGGUGGGGUAGUGGCUUACCAAGGCUUUGACGGGUAGCCGGCCUGAGAGGGUGACCGGCCACAUUGGGACUGAGAUACGGCCCAGACUCCUACGGGAGGCAGCAGUGGGGAAUAUUGCACAAUGGGCGGAAGCCUGAUGCAGCAACGCCGCGUGCGGGAUGACGGCCUUCGGGUUGUAAACCGCUUUCGCCUGUGACGAAGCGUGAGUGACGGUAAUGGGUAAAGAAGCACCGGCUAACUACGUGCCAGCAGCCGCGGUGAUACGUAGGGUGCGAGCGUUGUCCGGAUUUAUUGGGCGUAAAGGGCUCGUAGGUGGUUGAUCGCGUCGGAAGUGUAAUCUUGGGGCUUAACCCUGAGCGUGCUUUCGAUACGGGUUGACUUGAGGAAGGUAGGGGAGAAUGGAAUUCCUGGUGGAGCGGUGGAAUGCGCAGAUAUCAGGAGGAACACCAGUGGCGAAGGCGGUUCUCUGGGCCUUUCCUGACGCUGAGGAGCGAAAGCGUGGGGAGCGAACAGGCUUAGAUACCCUGGUAGUCCACGCUGUAAACGGUGGGUACUAGGUGUGGGGUCCAUUCCACGGGUUCCGUGCCGUAGCUAACGCUUUAAGUACCCCGCCUGGGGAGUACGGCCGCAAGGCUAAAACUCAAAUGAAUUGACGGA
rnacentral:rRNA from 1 species